AACGCUAGCUACAGGCUUAACACAUGCAAGUCGAGGGGCAGCAUGGACCCAGUUUUGCUGGGUUUGAUGGCGACCGGCGCACGGGUGAGUAACGCGUAUCCAACCUGCCCUUUACUCCGGGAUAAUCUCCUGAAAGGGAGUUUAAUACCGGAUGUGUUUGUCUUUCCGCAUGGGAGCGACAAAUAAAGAUUGAUUGGUAAAGGAUGGGGAUGCGUCCCAUUAGCUUGUUGGCGGGGUAACGGCCCACCAAGGCGACGAUGGGUAGGGGUUCUGAGAGGAAGGACCCCCACAUUGGAACUGAGACACGGUCCAAACUCCUACGGGAGGCAGCAGUGAGGAAUAUUGGUCAAUGGGCGGGAGCCUGAACCAGCCAAGUAGCGUGAAGGAUGACGGCCCUACGGGUUGUAAACUUCUUUUAUAAGGGAAUAAAGUUCGCCACGUGUGGUGUUUUGUAUGUACCUUAUGAAUAAGGACCGGCUAAUUCCGUGCCAGCAGCCGCGGUAAUACGGAAGGUCCGGGCGUUAUCCGGAUUUAUUGGGUUUAAAGGGAGCGUAGGCCGGAGAUUAAGCGUGUUGUGAAAUGUAGAUGCUCAACAUCUGAACUGCAGCGCGAACUGGUUUCCUUGAGUACGCAUAAAGUGGGCGGAAUUCGUGGUGUAGCGGUGAAAUGCUUAGAUAUCACGAAGAACUCCGAUUG
rnacentral:rRNA from 1 species